UACGGGGGGGGCAAGCGUUGUUCGGGAUUACUGGGCGUAAAGGGCUCGUAGGUGGCCAACUAAGUCGGACGUGAAAUCCCUCAGCUUAACUGGGGAACUGCGUCCGAUACUGGAUGGCUUGAGUUUGGGAGAGGGAUGCGGAAUUCCAGGUGUAGCGGUGAAAUGCGUAGAUAUCUGGAGGAACACCGGUGGCGAAGGCGGCAUCCUGGACCAACACUGACACUGAGGAGCGAAAGCCAGGGGAGCAAACGGG
rnacentral:rRNA from 1 species